AACGAACGCUGGCGGCAGGCUUAACACAUGCAAGUCGAACGCGUGUAGCAAUACACGAGUGGCGCACGGGUGAGUAACACGUGGAUUAUCUGCCUCUUGGUUCGGAAUAACCCCGGGAAACUGGGGCUAAUACCGAAUGGUUCCUACGGGAUAAAGAUUUAUCGCCAAGAGAUGAGUCCGCGUCCGAUUAGCUAGUUGGUGGGGUAACGGCCUACCAAGGCGACGAUCGGUAGCUGGUCUGAGAGGACGAUCAGCCACACUGGGACUGAGACACGGCCCAGACUCCUACGGGAGGCAGCAGUGGGGAAUAUUGGACAAUGGGGGCAACCCUGAUCCAGCCAUGCCGCGUGAGUGAUGAAGGCCUUCGGGUUGUAAAGCUCUUUUGGCGGGGACGAUGAUGACGGUACCCGCAGAAUAAGCCCCGGCUAACUUCGUGCCAGCAGCCGCGGUAACAC
rnacentral:rRNA from 1 species